rnacentral:lncRNA from 1 species
UAAAAGUUUGAUUUAGUAGAAAACGAGGCUAAAAAUAUAUCUAAACAUUCACACUCACGUGCAUAACAGAUAUGAAAGGUACGUAAAAUUAGUAGGUUAGCUAAAACUAAAAUUUUAACAUAUUAUAUAAUGUGAGAAUUUAACUUGUGAAAUAUUAAUUUAUAGAACGAGGAGUUUAAAAUUAACUUUGAUACCAUAUAAUCUAAAAAUUUAUCUCUUGUUUGGCUCAAUUUACUAAAUGAGCGAUUCGAUCUCGAGCUUAUUUCAUGCUGAACACGAGUUGGCUCGUGAAAAGAGAUGGAGUGGAGGCCUAUAAAAAUAAAUAUAUUUUUUGCUUUUUUUAAUAGGAUAGGUUGUAAAAAUUAUAUAUUAACUAGUUAAGUGAUCCGCGCGAUGCUCCAGGUAGUUAUUUUAAAAUUUAAUUUUGAAAAUUAGUUAUAAAAUUAAUUUCAGAAUUUAAAUGGUGCAAUAAAUACGUCAAAAAAUUUUUCCAUUAGUUAGUGAAAUAAUUUUACCCCAGUAGUUAGUGAAUGAGAUAAGAAAUCAUUGUUUGUGAUUCUCGCAAUUAAUUUUCGUCAAAUACAAAAUUAACUUAAGCUGUGCUAAUUUUCUUUAUUUUUUAAUAUACAAUUUAUAUGUGAAUGCUUAAUAUUAUAAAAUUAAUAUUUAUAUCUAAAACCAGUAGUCUAAAUUAUUUAACAUUUAUUUAUAUAUUUUAUAUUUUAUAAAAAUAAAUAGUAAAUUAUAUAAUAAAUUAUUAUAUAAUAAUAUAUCUAUAUACAAAUAAAAUACUAUAUAUAUUAAAUAAAUAUAUAUAUAAUAAAUAAAUAUAUAUUUAUAAAUAAAAUUAUAUAUAUAAUAAAUACUAUAUAUAAUAAAUAAAUAAAUAUUUAUAAAUAAAAUUUUAUUUUAUAUAUAUAUAUAUAUAUAUAUAUAGAAUUAGACUACUAUACUACCUAUAGUAUCGGAGCUCCUGUACUAUAAUGUUGUUUUCGAUCUUAGGGCGUUCAAAUCAACGAUCCACACCGUUAAAUAUGAUCUAGGAUAUAUGAAGUUCUUAGGAAUAAAAUUUUAGUUUUUUUCGAUAUCAUUUACUUAGUAAAUAAAUUAUGUCAAAAUGAACGGUGGAAAUUGAAUACUCAUUAAAAUUUGAGUAUAGGACUUUUAAAUUCAAGAUCAAGAAUGUUAACCUUAAUUUAUAUAGUUUAAAGUAUUUUCUAUCAAAAUUUGAAGAAAUUUAGAUUCUUCUACACCGUUAAACUCGAAACUCGUCAUAAUAGCUAUUGAAAAUUAACAAUUUUGAAAUUGUUUGAUCAUAAAGUAAACUAUGUCGAAAAAAUAUAAAAUUUUAUUUCUAAAAAUUUUAAAUACCCUAGAUCAGUUUUAACGGUGUGGAUCGUUGAUUUGAUCGCCCGAAAAUUGAAAACGGAACUAUAGUACCGGAGCUCCGGUACUAUAGAUAGUAUAGUAACCUAGCUAUAUAUAUAUAUAGAGUGAGGCUACUAUGCUAUUGCAAGCAUGAAGCCUUCCGUGCUUCCAGCUCGUUUUCGAUGUUGCGACUUUCGAAUCAUCGAUCGACUCCGUUAAACUUGAUCUAGAGUAUUUGGAGUAUCUAGAAAAUAAAUUUUAUUAUUUUUCGAUAUCAUUUGCUUAGUGAUCGAAUGGGUUUAAAAUCAACAAAUUUCAAUGGCCGUAGUGAGCCGUUUGCAAGUUUAACGGUAUAGAAAUAUCCAAAUUACGUGAAAUUUUGAUAGAAAAUUUUUUAUACUAUAUAAAACAAGAUCAAUAUCUUUGAUUUAAAAUUUUAAUGUCAUAUUAUUAUAUUUUGUAAGAUUUUUAUUUUCAGCCGUUGAUUUUGAGCCCCUUCACUCACUAGGCAAAUGAUAUCGUAAAAUCAUAAAAUUU